UUCAUACUCCCUCCGUCCGCAAAUACUUGUCAUCAAAAUGGAUUAAAAGGGAUAUAUCUAGGACUAAAAUACAUCUAGAUACAUCCCCUUUUAUUCAUCUUGAUGACAAGUAUUUUCGGACGGAGGGAGUAUGUU
rfam:Triticum aestivum genome assembly, contig: Triticum_aestivum_CS42_TGACv1_scaffold_556812_7AL